rnacentral:misc_RNA from 1 species
AAAGUCGUAACAAGGUUUCCGUAGGUGAACCUGCGGAAGGAUCAUUCAUGAUAUUCUUUAACAAGAAAACAACUCUGUGAACUAUAUGCAAUGAGAUAAUCGGGAGUUGGCAAACGAGUCCGAGAGGAUGGGUCUUUGCCAACCGCGAUUUUUUCACGUAAUCUCCAACAGACUGAAACGUAUACACUCACAAACAAUAUACAACUUUUAGCAACGGAUCUCUAGGCUCUC